UCUUUUUCCCGCCCACCGAGCUGAGCGCCUGAGCCUUUGCUCCAGGGAGGAAGUAGUGCCCUCUGCCCCCCUGUUUGUGUCAUUGGCUGCCUCACCCUCACCAGCAGGAGGGGGGCAAACGUGGCACCCUGGGCCCCGUCCCAGUUAGCUGAGCUGUGUAUCUUUAAUCCCUAGGGAUUAAAGAGGUCAGAGGCUCAUGCUAUUUCCUGACCCCUUCCUGCCAGGUCCUAUAUUCUCUGGGGUCUGGAGCCCUCUGAAGUGGCUGUAGGUGCAGAGACCACUGUCCAGGGAAAGAGCAGUUUGAGCAAGGUCACCAGCGGAUGCCUAAAGAUGACCUGGUGAGGGAGAGGAGCUGAGAAAAGGAUUACACACCAAAUACCUGGGAGGACACUGUGGGUUGCCCGUCAGCCCCUAUGCCAGUGUCUCAGGGAGAGUGAGUAGAAGGGUUCCUGGCACAAGCUCUGGAAGUGUGGCUGUAAUGAAGAUGAUGGCAAGGAUGAAGAUGAGGACAGCAAGGCUGGAGCUCAAGUGCCAUCCUGGGUCCUGGAGUAGAAGCCACAUGUUGAGAACAGUCUGGAUCCUUAGCGAGGGUUGAGCCAUGACACCAGCCCAUGACUGUUUGCCCCUUGAGCUUGUUUACAGAAGAAGAAAAACUCACCUUGUUUAAAACACCA